rnacentral:rRNA from 1 species
ACAUGCAAGUCGAGCGAUUCUCUUCGGAAAAGAGCGGCGGACGGGUGAGUAACGCGUGGGUAACCUGCCCUGUACACACGGAUAACAUACCGAAAGGUAUGCUAAUACGGGAUAACAUAAUAAAGUCACAUGGUUUUCUUAUCAAAGCUCCGGCGGUACAGGAUGGACCCGCGUCUGAUUAGCUAGUUGGUAAGGUAACGGCUUACCAAGGCGACGAUCAGUAGCCGACCUGAGAGGGUGAUCGGCCACAUUGGAACUGAGACACGGUCCAAACUCCUACGGGAGGCAGCAGUGGGGAAUAUUGCACAAUGGGCGAAAGCCUGAUGCAGCAACGCCGCGUGAGCGAUGAAGGCCUUCGGGUCGUAAAGCUCUGUCCUCAAGGAAGAUAAUGACGGUACUU